AGCUGGCUUCUUCUGGCCCGGGUCGGCGUCUGGUCAGUCUGUCCGUCCUCCCUUACACACCCACUACCGGGUCACCGGGAAAGCGCGCAGGAAUCGACAGGCUAAGAACGUCAGCCCACCGAGCCCGGCCUUUUAUGCUCCGGACCCCGCAGCGGCCAUGAGGUCCCCAACCUUUGGGCUACUGAUGGGGGUGAGGGACACGCCUAAAAACUGCGGCACUGCCAGGGAGAGGCCCUGCGAAACCCGACAAGCACACAGAGAGCGAGCACCGACCCUCCUUCAAACCCACAGUUUCUAGAGCCAGAUCUGUGUGGAGUUCCGGGGUGAAAACGCCUGUUCAAGAUUAUGUAGAUGAAAGGACCCUUUCCUUUCGGAUUUCUUUUAGGGGAAGGAGCUUGGGAUAGGGCGAGGCUGAAAUGUAUCCUGGAUGCCCAGAUGCCCUUGGGGAUUCGGCACUUCUGGUUCAAGAUCUGUUUUCCUUUCCUUGUUUUGUUGGUACUGCCCUCCGUCCCACCUCAUUCGAUCUGACAUUCUUGUUAAACGUUCUACGCCCCUUCCUAAUUUGGAAUUAUGAUGCUGCACAGUUUUAUUUUCACAAGGAGCUGAUUUUGUGUCGGAGGCUGGAUGCUAAUGACAGCCAAGUUUUUCCCUGGUCUUUAAACUUACCUACUAACGGUUAUACUUAUUCUGUGUAGCUACCGAGAAGAUUCGUUCUCAGCUCGGUCCUUCAACAUUUCUUUUUGUCUGUUAUACACAAUUCCUCUCCAUCUAGGUCAUUGUAUAUCAGACAUGAAGGUGUCAGGACAAUAUAUUUCAUCUUCAUUUACAUAAUGUUAGUUCCAAUGAUGUACUAACAUUUCUAAAUUUUCCCUUCUUGAGACAGUUGUAGAAAUAACUCAGUGUAAAAUAAAAGUAUGCAUAACUGAUGGUGAGGCUGAGGUAAAAUAUCCGCUAAACCAUUAAAAUUAUAUUUACUCUCACAA